rnacentral:rRNA from 1 species
AUUGAACGCUGGCGGCAGGCCUAACACAUGCAAGUCGAACGGUAACAGGAAGAAUCUUGCUUCUUUGCUGACGAGUGGCGGACGGGUGAGUAAUGUCUGGGAAACUGCCUGAUGGAGGGGGAUAACUACUGGAAACGGUAGCUAAUACCGCAUAACGUCGCAAGACCAAAGAGGGGGACCUUCGGGCCUCUUGCCAUCUGAUGUGCCCAGAUGGGAUUAGCUAGUAGGUGGGGUAACGGCUCACCUAGGCGACGAUCCCUAGCUGGUCUGAGAGGAUGACCAGCCACACUGGAACUGAGACACGGUCCAGACUCCUACGGGAGGCAGCAGUGGGGAAUAUUGCACAAUGGGCGCAAGCCUGAUGCAGCCAUGCCGCGUGUAUGAAGAAGGCCUUCGGGUUGUAAAGUACUUUCAGCGGGGAGGAAGGGAGUAAAGUUAAUACCUUUGCUCAUUGACGUUACCCGCAGAAGAAGCACCGGCUAACUACGUG